CCUACGGGAGGCAGCAGUGAGGAAUAUUGGUCAAUGGACGAGAGUCUGAACCAGCCAAGUAGCGUGAAGGAUGACUGCCCUAUGGGUUGUAAACUUCUUUUAUAUGGGAAUAAAAUGUUCCACGUGUGGGAUUUUGUAUGUACCAUAUGAAUAAGGAUCGGCUAACUCCGUGCCAGCAGCCGCGGUAAUACGGAGGAUCCGAGCGUUAUCCGGAUUUAUUGGGUUUAAAGGGAGCGUAGGUGGAUUGUUAAGUCAGUUGUGAAAGUUUGCGGCUCAACCGUAAAAUUGCAGUUGAAACUGGCAGUCUUGAGUACAGUAGAGGUGGGCGGUAUUCGUGGUGUAGCGGUGAAAUGCUUAGAUAUCACGAAGAACUCCGAUUGCGAAGGCAGUUCACUGGACUGCAACUGACACUGAGGCUCGAAAGUGUGGGUAUCAAACAGGAUUAGAUACCCCUGUAGUC
rnacentral:rRNA from 1 species